rnacentral:rRNA from 1 species
GUGUCAGCCGCCGCGGUAACACGAACUGUGCAAACGUUAUUCGGAAUCACUGGGCUUAAAGAGUUCGUAGGCGGCGCGUUAAGUCGGGUGUGAAAUCCCUCGGCUCAACCGAGGAAUUGCGCUCGAAACUGGCGUGCUUGAGUGAGAUAGAGGUGAGCGGAACUGAUGGUGGAGCGGUGAAAUGCGUUGAUAUCAUCAGGAACACCGGUGGCGAAAGCGGCUCACUGGGUCUCAACUGACGCUGAGGAACGAAAGCUAGGGGAGCGAACGGGAUUAGAAACCCCAGUAGUCC